rnacentral:lncRNA from 1 species
UGCCAAGUGUUCAAACGUCUAUUUUGGACCUUUACGCAAUGCCGAAACACAUUUCCAUACUGCAAGCCAUUGGUACAAAUUGACAGUACCUUUAUGUUUAGUAGGUAUACUCAUCGGCUAUUGCUUGCAGUGGCACAGGAUGGCGAUGGGAGAAUUCUUCCAAUUGCAUUUGCAAUAACACCGGGGGAGUCACCUGAUGACUGGGAUUUCUU